UCUCCGUAGGUGAACCUGCGGAGGGAUCAUUACUGAGUUAUACAACUCCAACCCAUGUGAACUAUACCACUGUUGCCUCGGCGGGGGGACGCCUACCCGGUACCUACCCUGUAGGCCAGCCCCGCCGGCGGAUUUCAGACUCUUGUUUUUUUGUGACACAUCUGAGUAACAUUUUAAAAUAAGUCAAAACUUUCAACAACGGAUCUCUUGGUUCUGGCAUCGAUGAAGAACGCAGC
rnacentral:misc_RNA from 1 species